CCACUCUUCCUCUGCACAGGUUUUGAUAAAUCUCCCCCAUUGACUUCACAGGGAUGCCUGCAGAGCUUUGAUUCCUGGUCGAGGAAACCUCUUAAGACUCUAACAGUACAACAAGUCUACACAGAAACCUUCGCCUGAAGUGGACACCAUUUCAUGACCAGCUUGUAAGGAUAUAAUAGAGCCUUUUCUACAAGUUAGAGGAGACAACAUCAAAAUGUGGAGCUUUUAAGAAAAAAACAGCUUUCUUCAUGCAGGAGUGGCACGACACCUUUAAUGGUUACAGGCCCAUGUGACACCAUUCGGCCUCCAGCCCUAGCAUCUCCUCUGCAGUGGAUAAGCCAUUCCAGUCAACUGCAGGUCAACUUGACUCACUUUCACAUUUUAUAGCUCCAUCAACCAAAAUAAAGUAUCUCAGG